CCUUACCUGUGCUCCCAGUGCGGGCGUGCUUUUGGUUUUAAGUCACUUCUCACCAGACACCAGAGGACACACUCCAAGUAGAAGAGGCUUUUUGUAAACAGCUUAUGUGGGUAGGGAGUGGAUGGGAUGCCACACCUCACGUCUGACUAGAGGACUCAGUCCAGUUGGUAGAGAAGCCUUUGGCUUUAACUCUGCCCUCAUCAGACAUCAGCAGACCUACUCUGGCAAGAAGCCCUUAAGUGCAGGGAUCGUGGGCGUGGCUUCAGCUGGACGUUUCACCUCCACAGACUUAGGAAGACCCAAGUGUGGGCCAUCGGCUCCUAGCCUGAGAGGUGUUUGCCUGACCUGUUGUUUCCUUUCCCCAGGAUCAGGGAGCUGGCAGAAAUCACUAGUGAAUGUUCCUGGAAAUAGAGUAGGGGAAAAGUCCUUGCUUGUUCAUGAAAUCAUUGGUUUAUUGUUUAUUAUCUUUGGUUAAUAGUAUGUGUUAGUUUUCUAGGGCUUCCUAACAAAAUACCCCGGACCGUACAGCUUAGGCAAAAGAAAUUUACUCUGCUGUAUAUAUGGAGCCUAGAAGUCCUCUGUCAAACCGGCUCAGGUGUUGCUGUAGCCACACCUCCCCGUAGCGGGUGGAUGGCUUCCUGAUGUGCUGUGCACCUACAGGUCCAUCCCUCCUGUAUAUACUUUCCUGGUGCCUCUCAUCCUGGACCACAUCCAGAUGACCUUGUUUAAUCUUGAGUAAAUGUCCUGCCUCCAAGUC
rnacentral:lncRNA from 1 species